rnacentral:rRNA from 1 species
UACGUAGGAGGCGAGCGUUGUCCGGAAUUACUGGGCGUAAAGGGCGCGUAAGCGGGAUGGCAAGUCGGUCGUGAAAUCCCUCGGCUCAACCGAGGAACGUCGAUCGAUACUGCUGUUCUUGAGGAUUGCAGAGGAGACUGGAAUUCCCGGUGUAGCGGUGAAAUGUGUAGAGAUCGGGAGGAACACCGGUGGCGAAGGCGGGUCUCUGGGCCGAUACUGACACUGAGGAGCGAAAGCCGUGGGGAGCGAACAGG